AGCAGUAGCCGCGGUAAUACGAAGGGGGCUAGCGUUGCUCGGAAUCACUGGGCGUAAAGGGUGCGUAGGCGGGUCUUUAAGUCAGGGGUGAAAUCCUGGAGCUCAACUCCAGAACUGCCUUUGAUACUGAAGAUCUUGAGUUCGGGAGAGGUGAGUGGAACUGCGAGUGUAGAGGUGAAAUUCGUAGAUAUUCGCAAGAACACCAGUGGCGAAGGCGGCUCACUGGCCCGAUACUGACGCUGAGGCACGAAAGCGUGGGGAGCAAACAGGAUUAGAUACCCCGGUAGUCCCUGUCUCUUAUAC
rnacentral:rRNA from 1 species